UUUUUUUUUUUUUUUUUUUGUCUUUUCUAGGGCCACACCUAUGGUGUAUGGAGGUUCCCAGGCUAGAGGUCUAAUUGGAGCGAUAGCUGCUGGCCUACGCCAGAGCCACAGCAACGCGGGAUCCGAGCUGCGUCUGUGACUUACACCAACACCAGAUCCUUAACCCGCUGAUCGAGAGAGACCAGGGAUCGAACCCACAACCUCAUGGUUCCUAGUUGGAUUCGUUAACCACUGAGCCACGACGAGAACUCCCAAGUGUGGAUUUUCUUUGACACUAUAUUCAAACUUGACAAGCAGUUUCAUAAAGGUUAGUCGCACUGUGGAAUCUAAAGCCAUAUUAGUGAACUUUUUAUACUCUGUUACAUUAAAAUCCACUGGCCUGUCUUGCAUAUACUUUUACCCAUGCACUAGUGUCUAAUGAGCAUUGGAGUUCCCGUCAUGGCUCAAUGGUUAACGAAUCUGACUAGGAACCUUGAGGUUGGGGGUUCGAUCCCUGGCCUUGCUCAGUGGGUUAAGGAUCCGGUGUUGCCCUGAGCUGUGGUGUAGGUUGCAGACAUGGCUCAGAUCCUGCGUUGCCUUGGCUCUGGUGCAGGCCAGCGGCUACAGCUCCGAUUAGACCCCUAGCCUGGGAACCUCCAUAUGCCAACAAGAAGUGGCUCUAGAAAAGGCAAAAAGACACACACACACACACAAAAGAAAUGACUUAAGUAAGCAUUGGGGAAAUUUCAAGCUCAUGGUGGUGGAUACACAUUUUCAAAAUACUCAUUUUGCUUGAAAACUCAGAUUUUAUCAUUGGCCACAAGCAUCAUCAUUAGCUUUCCUUGAAGUAGACACAUUCAUUUUGUUCAUUUUCAAGAAAAUGUCUGCUAACUAUUCAAGUCUGAAUAACCAUAGUCUGUCAGUUCUGCCAAGUAAAAACAGUGUUCCAUGAAAAAGCCUUCUAGUUCAGCUUGUAACUCAGUUGUACAAGUGCUUUCUCUUAGAUUUCUUAAAGUAGCAGAAGUGUUUCCUGUGUACUUUCCCUUUCAUCAUACACACAAUAUUUAAAUACAUAUAUUCAUACACACAUAACACUGAAGACUAAAGAAUGGAGAUUUAAUAAAAUUCAUAAUUUUCAUAUUUCAUCAAGGCUAUCAAAGGUCAGGUCAGUGGCACUUUUUUUUUUUUUUUUUAAUUGUAAAUGAGUAGAGAAUAUAGUGACCAAUGAGUGUUAGUACAUGUUGGCGCCUCUGCCCUGAUUUGUGCUAAGGUACCACCGGUUUUGUUCAGACUUGUUUUGCCCCCUUAUUGCUAAUAUCAACACUGUGAAAAAGGCAAAUAACAUUUUAAUAUUAUUAGAAAAUAGCUUUGAUCUUUCAGACCUCUGAAAUUGUCUUUGAGCUCUCAAGAAAUAGGCCACACUUCAGGAAUAGCUGGGUUAGUUCUUUGCAUAGAUUUCCUUUUACUCUCAGACCAAAUAAAUCACAGGGGAUGAAGAAGAGGCAAAUGGCUGAGGUUUUUAGCUUGGGUUAGUAAAUGAAAGCGAUGCCAUCACUUGAAGAUAAAACAGGGUGAGGAGUAAGUGUGUUGGAAGAAAGCCCGUUUUGAGUUUCAGGGGGCUUGAGGAAUGUAGAGGUGGGGAUGUUGAUUAGCGUAGCUGAGCAAGUUUUUCUGAGCAUUGGGAGGCCUUUCCAUGCUGCUUUUUCGGUGGUUGCCAAGGAAGAGAAUUGAGAAAAAGAGGGCAGAAGAAGGGCCCUUAAACUGUCAAGGACAUCGGGAAAGAAGAAUUUCAAGAAGAGUGAGGAUGAUCAGCACUACCUAAUGCUUUAGAGAAGUCACAGUGGGGCCUGAGAUUUGAGUGUUGAAUUUGAAAAUGAGAUGACUGGUGACCUUUGGAAUAGGAGUAGAAGCCAGAUUAUAGAAGAGUAAAAAGUGCAGAGGCAGUUAUUUAUAACUAUUCUUUCAAGAAGUUUUGGGGUAAAGGAAAAGUUUGGGGUAACGGGUAAUGGGUUAGGCAAUUAAUUUGAGGGGUGGGCUGUACUGAGGACAG
rnacentral:lncRNA from 1 species